UAUAUCCUUGCCCACGCAGAACCCUCUGCAUAACUCUGCGCUCUUUCUCUCAUCCAAGCCCUAGCGCUCUCUCUCUGCUCUCUCUCUCUCGCGUCCAAGCCCUAUCUUUCUCUUUCUGCUCUGUCUCUCGCGUCGAAGCCUUAUCUUUCUUUCUCGAUCUGCUCUCUCUCUCUCUAGAUGAAGAAGAUGCCGACAAGAUGAUGUUGUAGCUUUGAUAUCGCCUCCCUAUUCGGGUUCUCUCUCUGGUUCGCCUCUCUAUUCGAGUUCUCCCUUUGGUUUGCCUCUCUAUUCGAGUUCUCCCUCUGGUUUGGACACGACAAACAACCAUUUGGAGCGCAAUAUCCUCAAUUUGGAGCAAAAAAACAAGGGCGGAUGAGGAACCUAUUGAUACAAAGAAGCAUCUUGAAGAGUCUUGCAAGCCGAAGUGUGUGAGACCUUCACUCGACUAUAAGGGCUUUUGUGUAUGAAGUGCUUGGGUGUUAAGCUGUUGGAAAGAACUAUUUCAUCUCUACUUAGGUCCCUAUGCCAUAUAAAAAAGGAAUUAAAGAUUGCAAACUCUGUACAUGAAGAAUCAGCAUCUUCACUCAAUAUUACCCAUCUGCUGGUUGUACCAUGCCCUUCAGAUAUCAUAGAGAUCGCAUUCUAAACAAAAUGGGAGAAGAGACUUUUGGGCAAGUCUUGGAGUGUUUGGACUACGAUACGAAAGAACUCGUGGCAAUUAAAAUUGUACGUUCAAUACUCAAGUAUCAUGAAGCUGCCAUGAUUGAAAUUAAUGUCCUACAGAAGCUUGCCAAGCAUGAUGUUGGUGGCACCCAGCAAUGAUGUUCCUUCACACUUGAAUAUUCUGUGAGUUAAAUAAUUUUUUUCCCAUGGGCAAAGUUAAAAAUUUGAAGAUAUAAACAAUAGAAUACAAUAGAAGCCAAGGCUAAUGGACAAAACAACAUAGACCACUUUAAAAAGAGACACCAUGCCCCUAGAGCAAACCAAAACAAAGCAGCAAAGCAAAAUACCAGCAACAAAUGACCACAAGCAUUGAAGAAGUAAUACUAACAAACAAUGCCUAUAGACAAUAAAGAUAGCUAGCAUCUACCUAGGAGGCACUAAACGACCGGCCCAAAGCACCAACAAAAGCAACUCCAGCAAAUCAGCAAUAGAAGCCCACAAAACAACUAGCAUCUUUCCAAAAAGCACCAUAAAAACUGCAGCAAUGUAGAGUGAAGCCAACUGACAAGCAGGGCUACCUCUUGCUAGAUCAAACCCAAAUAAAAAUUAACAAAUAACAGAGCACAGAAGAUCAAAGACACUGCAUCAUAAUUACAACUACACCAUCAAGCACAUACCAAUAACUAUAAUUCCCAUCGUCUAUCCCUGCUCCCAUUUAAAUUGCCCCACUGCCCAGUUUAUUUAAUUUUUUCAAUAAGCUAACAUUAUAUGUUGAUGUGAAUAAUACUUACCAGUGUUAGAAUUGAGGCAAAACCAACCUAAACAAAAAUUACUAAUCAAAUCCCACCCAAGUACAAGUAGGGAUGGCAAAUUCCCCAUCUCCGCCAGGGCCCCGCCCCAUUUAUAGCUGGGAUGGGGAACCUUUUAGCUAAACGGGGAUAGUGAUGGGGACAAGUUUUGAAUCCCCGCCGGGGCCGGGGCCCCCGCCCCGCCCCGCCCCGAUUAGGUGUGAAAUUAUUAAGAUACCCUUGCCCAUGUUAUUAUAUUUACCAAACUAGCCUAUACUAUAUAUAUACCAUCUAUGUUGAAACCUUAAAACCUUGUCCUAAUAACCCAAGUCGCCGCCUCCUCCUCUUUUUCUUCUCCUAAGAUUCGAUAACAAUGUCGACUGUUCCCGUCCUUCCGAAUCCGUCUCCGGCAUCGGAUCUUCCCCGUCCUUCUGAAUCUGUCUCUGGCAUCAGCUCUUCCCCGUCCUUCCGAAUCUAUCUCCGACAUCGUCUCUACCCCCUCACAGGCAUCGGUUGAAGAAUUUUUUUUUUGGAAA